CGCAAGGGGAGCGGCGCACGGGUGAGUAAUACUUGGGAACGUGCCCUUCAGUCGGGAAUAACACCGGGAAACUGGUGCUAAAACUCGAUAUUCCCUCCGGGGGAAAGAUUUAUCGCUGAAGGAUCGGCCCAAGCCAGAUUAUGGUAGUUGGUGGGGUAAUGGCCUACCAAGCCUACGAUCUGUAGCUGGUCUGAGAGGACGACCAGCCACACUGGAACUGAGACACGGUCCAGACUCCUACGGGAGGCAGCAGUGGGGAAUAUUGGACAAUGGGGGAAACCCUGAUCCAGCCAUGCCGCGUGAAUGAUGAAGGCCUUAGGG
rnacentral:rRNA from 1 species